AUUGAACGCUGGCGGCAGGCCUAACACAUGCAAGUCGAGCGAGCGGCGGACGGGUGAGUAAUGUCUGGGAAACUGCCCGAUGGAGGGGGGUAACUACUGGAAACGGUAGCUAAUACCGCAUACUAUCAGAUGUGCCCAGAUGGGACUAGCUAGUUGGUGAGGUAACGGCUCACCUAGGCGACGAUCCCUAGCUGGUCUGAGAGGAUGACCAGCCACACUGGAACUGAGACACGGUCCAGACUCCUACGGGAGGCAGCAGUGGGGAAUAUUGCACAAUGGGCGAAAGCCUGAUGGAGCCAUGCCGCGUGUGUGAAGAAGGCCUUCGGGUUGUAAAGCACUUUUAGCGGGGAGGCGGUACCCGCAGAAGAAGCACCGGCUAACUCCGUGCCAGCAGCCGCGGUAAUUC
rnacentral:rRNA from 1 species